UACGGGGGGGGUAAGCGUUGUUCGGAAUUACUGGGCGUAAAGGGCGCGUAGGCGGCGACCCAAGUCAGAUGUGAAAGUCCUGGGCUUAACCUGGGGACUGCAUUUGAUACUGGAUGGCUUGAGUUCGGGAGAGGGAUGUGGAAUUCCAGGUGUAGCGGUGAAAUGCGUAGAUAUCUGGAGGAACACCGGUGGCGAAGGCGGCAUCCUGGACCGACACUGACGCUGAUGAGCGAAAGCCAGGGGAGCAAACGGG
rnacentral:rRNA from 1 species